rnacentral:rRNA from 1 species
CAGUAGCCGCGGUAAUACGAAGGGGGCUAGCGUUGCUCGGAAUGACUGGGCGUAAAGGGCGCGUAGGCGGCGAUCAAAGUCAGGCGUGAAAUUCCUGGGCUCAACCUGGGGGCUGCGCUUGAUACUUGGUUGCUUGAGUGGGGAAGAGGGUCGUGAAUUCCCAGUGUAGAGGUGAAAUUCGUAGAUAUUGGGAAGAACACCGGUGGCGAAGGCGGCGACCUGGUCCUUGACUGACGCUGAGGCGCGAAAGCGUGGGGAGCAAACAGGAUUAGAGACCCGCGUAGUCCCUGUCUCUUAUACA